GAUGAACGCUGGCGGCGUGCCUAAUACAUGCAAGUCGAGCGAACAGACGAGGAGCUUGCUCCUCUUACGUUAGCGGCGGACGUGUGAGUAACACGUGGAUCACCUACCUAUAAGACUGGGAUAACUUCGGGAAACCGGAGCUAAUACCGGAUAAUAUAUUGAACCGCAUGGUUCAAUAGUGAAAGACGGUUUUGCUGUCACUUAUAGAUGGAUCCGCGCCGCAUUAGCUAGUUGGUAAGGUAACGGCUUACCAAGGCAACGAUGCGUAGCCGACCUGAGAGGGUGAUCGGCCACACUGGACCUGAGCCACGGUCCAGACUCCUACGGAAGGCAGCCGUAGGGAAUCUUCCGCAAUGGGCGAAAGCCUGACGGAGCAAUGCCGCGUGAGUGAUGAAGGUCUUCGGAUCGUAAAACUCUGUUAUUAGGGGAGAACAAAUGUGUAAGUAACUAUGCACGUCUUGACGGUACCUAAUCAGAAAGCCACGGCUAACUACGUG
rnacentral:rRNA from 1 species